rnacentral:piRNA from 1 species
AUCCGCCGUGGGGCCACUGUAGACAAGA